CCUUGCGAUUAGAAACAACAGCUCCCAGGCCCUCAGGCUGGUCGGGCUCAUGCAAAUCACCCACCAUUGUUUCCCAGGUGUGGAGGAAAGUCCUGCCCAUUUCCUGACCUGCAAGCUGUCUUGUCAUGCUCCCCUCAGAAACAGAGAUGCAAGUGCCACUCGUGGAAGUCAAAGCCAUAUCUUUUUCUUCUAAUUUAAAUAUUGUUAUUUUAUCAAACUUUGAACGCUUACCUAUAAUCUACAAAAUGGACAUUGCAUAUUUGUGAUCCAGGGGUCCAGAGUCUAGUGUUUUGGGAGGAGAGAAGAUUCACACACUGUCAGAGUAACUGAGCUAAGACUCAAAUAGAAAGCAAAGAGAUGCUGUCCGUAUAAAUCUGAACAAACCCAAGACAUCACUAUCUAUAUUAGAUCAACAAAUCCUCUCAGUCCCUGGGCUAGUGGAAGAAUGAGCAGCAAAAGUGAAAUUCCUUGUAACAGAGGCAGAGAAAGCCAACAUGAAGGAAACGGUAACACCGUGGAGGCCAGACUUGAACAUGGGUCACACACAUGGCAAAGGGACGCAAGAAACCAGCACUUUCACUGGGAAUCUCUGGACCCAGGAUUUUCUCUUUCCGGGAAAACCACUCAUGGUUCUGGACUCAGGUCUGGGUGUGGACCCCAGGCAAACCAGCACUAAAGAACAGGGGAGCCCCUCUGCUGAGAAGGUGUGGUCCAGAGAACAAGGAUUCCACUUACUCACAUUCAUGGCAUUUGGAUCCUUUUCUGAGAUUCCAGUGACAAUUUCAAAGUCAAGCACCUCUGCUCUUGAAAAGGUCUCAGACAAUCUUGCUCACACCAUGCCAAUCACAGCCUCCCCAUGUAGAUGGAAGGACAUCCUGGGAUGUCUUCGUGGUCACAGCAAGCAGGACCACUGGAGUGUCUUUCUUGGAUCCACAAAAGGCUCAUGGAAAAAAGCCCUCAACUGUUUAAACCUGAAGACCACUACAGGUCUGAAAAUAGAGUUCUGGCACCUCAAGGACAGUCAGUUCCAAAGAACAAAACAAACUCUUCAGAAGGAUCAUCACCACCAUAACAAAGAAACCAGAGCAGAAAACCUGGAACUUCAAACAUCCACCGUGUUUGCAACCCCAGCUUUUAUCGGUGCUCAUUAAGAGAGCUGGAGCAUGACAGGAAUACACGGUGGCGAUGAGGGAGCAUGGAAGACACAAUGUUUACAAAACCAUUUGCUUCUCAAGGGGGAGAGGAGUUUGAAUUGUACAGCAAGGAGGCAAAAUGGCAAAGUGAGAAUGGAGAACAAUUACUCACCUAUGGAGUCAAAGGUUCCAGAUGCUAGCAUGAUGUCGACCAGAUUUCCCUGGACAGACAACCCCACCAAUGUGUCCUGGAGCUCCGCUUCCCUAGAGCCCUUCCCCACUAGGAAAAGAGAGAGACAGACUGGAAGUAUGGAUUGACCUGUCAAUGCCCAUGCUCAGCUGGGAAGCAAUUACAGAGCCAGACCUUCCAUCUUCUGCAUCCCACAAUGACCUUGGGUCCAUCUCCCAAAGGGUUAAAGAAUAGGAAAGCUUUCAGGGGAGGGGAUGGGAUAUGGAGUUCUGGUGGUGGGA